rnacentral:rRNA from 1 species
GAUGAACGCUGGCGGCGUGCUUAAUACAUGCAAGUCGAACGGAAAGACGCGGAGCUUGCUCCUCUGACGUUAGCGGCGCACGGGUGUGACACACGUGGAUAACCUACCUGUAUGACUGGGAACACCUCGGGAAACGGGCGCUAAUCCCGGAUAAUCUACUGAAGCGCAUGGUUCAAUAGUGAAAGUCGGUUUUGUUGUCUCGUAUCGAUGGUUCCUCGCCGCAUUGGCUGGUUGGUAAGGUCAAGGCUUACCAAGGCAACGAUGGGUAGCCGACCUGUGAGGGUGAUCGGCCACACUGGAAGUGAGACACGGUCCAGACUCCUACGGGAGGCAGCAGUAGGGAAUCGUCCGCAAUGGGCGAAAGCCUGACGCAGCAACGCCGCGUGAGUGAUGAAGGUCUUCGGUUCGUAAAACUCUGUUAUGAGGGAAGAACAGAUGUGUAAGUAACUAUGCACGUCUUGACGGUACCUGAUCAGAAAGCCACGGCUAACUACGUG